rnacentral:rRNA from 1 species
UUUCUUUGGAGAGUUUGAUCCUGGCUCAGGACGAACGCUGGCGGCGUGCCUAAUACAUGCAAGUCGAGCGGACCGA